AGAUUGAACGCUGGCGGCAGGCCUAACACAUGCAAGUCGAGCGGUAGAGAGGUGCUUGCACCUCUUGAGAGCGGCGGACGGGUGAGUAAUGCCUAGGAAUCUGCCUAGUGGUGGGGGAUAACGUUCGGAAACGGACGCUAAUACCGCAUACGUCCUACGGGAGAAAGCGGGGGACCUUCGGGCCUCGCGCCAUUAGAUGAGCCUAGGUCGGAUUAGCUAGUUGGUGAGGUAAUGGCUCACCAAGGCGACGAUCCGUAACUGGUCUGAGAGGAUGAUCAGUCACACUGGAACUGAGACACGGUCCAGACUCCUACGGGAGCAGCAGUGGGAAUAUUGGACAGGUGGGACGAAAGCCU
rnacentral:rRNA from 1 species